AACCAUAGGAUCUUUUCUGAAUUUUGCAAUUUUAUGGCUGUUUUUACUUCGGUUUAGAAGGCAACCGGCAACCCAGCUUAGAUCUUAGCUGGGUUGCCUUCUAAACCCAACUCGAGUUUGAUAUAGUUUCAUUUCUUAUAGAGUAGUGACAUGAAGAGUGUGAAGUGAAUAACCUGCAAUGUGUAUGUACAUGUACCAGAUCUGUACAUGAAAACAUAUAUAUAUUAUGUACAUGAGUACAGAUGCAUAAUAGAUGCGCAAACACGAAUGUUAUGAAUUUCGUUUUGGGGUCAAUGGAGUUGGCGCUGGUUGCCGUUACUGGCCUUUUGCGACGUCUUGAUAUCAGUUUACAAUAAUAGCUCUGGACUCUAGGGAAUCCAAACUCAUAUUCGAGGUAACCUUGCAGUCAACAUAUGUGAGGAUUUCUUGAUUCGUUAAAAUUUUUGCAUAUCUUCGUUGUGAUUCUUGCAUGGAAGUCAACCUGCAGAAAGGUCGGCCAGUUUGUCCAGACAGGAUGUCUUUCUCGCUUGAAGGUCACGAGAAACAUUACGUAAAACUGGCAUGCGGUGGUGAAGAGGUUGGGUGAGAAUGACACGUGUUUCAUCAUUAUCAAAGCAGACCCAUCCCCAGCAACGUCUACCUAAAGAAGG